rnacentral:lncRNA from 1 species
UUCCACACUAAUAUUUUCCUUCUCUCAGUGAGGAUGCUUGUUCUAAAAAUUAAGAGUUAAAAAGUCCAACUCUGUCCUUGGCUCUGUAUAAAUUAGUGUAAUUAUAUAAAAUAUCUCCCACCCCCCAUCUCUCGUUUGAGCUCCUUCUGCAUUUUGUAGCCUUUCUUGUUUCUUCUAUCUCAUGAAGCUGGAUGAAAGACCCCAGUCCUGAAAGCACCUUGUCUGCUCACUGAACAUCAAAGAGGUCAGCAUGGCUACAGUGGAGUGAGCAAGCGGGAGAGAAAAAAAGAAAGGAGAUCAGAAAGGUAACACUGGGCCAGGUUAUGGAGGAUCUGGUAAGCUUUUACUGUGAAAGUUGGUGCCAUUGCAGUUUUGAGAAGACACCUGACACUCUUCCUGCUGAGCAGUAUCAAUUUUCCUUCCAGAUGGAAUGUCAAGAUGCUGCUGUGAGGCCGUGCAUUAGCAAAGGAAACUGCACAUUAAAUCACAUCAGCAGUACCUGUAUAUAUUUGAAGAGAUGGAGAGUCUCACUCUGUUGCCCGGGCUGGUCUUGAACUCCUGGCCUCAAGCAGUCCUCCUGCCUUGACCUCCCAAAGAGCUGGGAUUACAGGUAUGAGCCACUGCCCAGUCCAAGAAUUUGCAUUUCUGUCCGUUUCCCAGGUAGUGCUGAUGCUGCUGGUCUGAGGACCACCAUUUGAGCACCAUGGGAAUAGUGGAUAAGAGUUUAGGAUUCAGGCCAUCCUUGCUGCUUCCAGGUUGAAUGAUCUUGGAUGGCUUACUUACAUUUUGGAAUUCUUAAUUUUCUUAAUCUAUCAAAUAGAGUAAAUAAAACCCGCCUCCUAGG